rnacentral:rRNA from 1 species
GACGAACGCUGGCGGCGUGCCUAAUACAUGCAAGUAGAACGCACAGGAUGCACCGUAGUUUACUACACCGUAUUCUGUGAGUUGCGAACGGGUGAGUAACGCGUAGGUAACCUGCCUGGUAGCGGGGGAUAACUAUUGGAAACGAUAGCUAAUACCGCAUAAGAACAUUUACUGCAUGGUAGAUGUUUAAAAGGUGCAAAUGCAUCACUACCAGAUGGACCUGCGUUGUAUUAGCUAGUAGGUGAGGUAACGGCUCACCUAGGCGACGAUACAUAGCCGACCUGAGAGGGUGAUCGGCCACACUGGGACUGAGACACGGCCCAGACUCCUACGGGAGGCAGCAGUAGGGAAUCUUCGGCAAUGGGGGGAACCCUGACCGAGCAACGCCGCGUGAGUGAAGAAGGUUUUCGGAUCGUAAAGCUCUGUUGUUAAGGAAGAACGAGUGUGAGAAUGGAAAGUUCAUACUGGAC